GUCAUCCGCAUUCAGGGAAUCUCGAAAAGAUAUUGUCCGUUUUCCCCAUAAAAAGUUGAAUGGAGUGUAACAUGUAUUUCCAUUCAUAACUACAUUUUAUUUAAGCUAAGUGCUUGUUUAAAAGGGGCCAAUUUGCCCACAUGUCGACAAAAUAUGCCACCACCGGUGAGAACAGAUAGUACAAGGAAAUGGAAGUUUUGUCUACAGCAAAUGGAUGAUUAUCUUCUUUAUAGUUGGAGGAAUGUUCUUCUUAGUUGGUGUGUACUUUACUGCAAAAAAGAAAAAAGAAACGUGGACAAUGUAGUAACGAGUUUAUGGCUAAUUAAGAAAUCCUGGAGUUAUUGGAAUAAUGUGCGGUCUUAAAAUGAAUCGAAAUAAUGAAUUGGAAGGACAGUCUUGGAUCUUAUUAGGAGUGUUAAGUUGCCUACUUGGGGUUACUUUAUCAGGCAGCGUGUCUGGUUAUCAUACUCUAAUGCGAUACCGUCGAGAUCUGAGAGCCACAAAUCUUGGGUAGCCAUGGAGACAUCUUAUGGUAGCCAUCAAACCAGUGAAGUUGAUAUGAACGCGAGGCGAUUUAGAAAAAUGUUGGUACAUUUUUUGGGGUGCUACAAUACGAAAUCACUUCCUUGUUUGCUUCACGAAGUUACAAAAAUGCGAAGCAUUUUUUUGGAAUAUUAUGGAAUGUAAAUUAAGUCACGAUGCCACGUUUUUGUGACGGCCACACGAGUCAUAUCCAACAGGAAAGAAGUGAUAAGUAUGUUCCUUCUAUCUGUAUAAUCUUGAACGUUUUGCGCGCAAUGUAAUGUAAUUCUUUUAUUUAUACACCUGUUAUAAUUCUGAGCUCGAAUUACGUUCAGGUAUAUACAUAAAAUAUGACUAUGAGUAUGUUUUCAAAAUUGUUUUUAUUUGUAACACUGUCUAUUCGAUCACUGUCUGGAUAAGCACUUUGAAUGUAUUUGGAACUGAUUUUAUCGAUACCUGGAUCCAAUAACUAUUCAAAUAGACGUAGUAAUAGAACAUGCGUGUAUCUAUUUUUCCUAUAAUCCUCUGGUUGAUAACCUAACUUGCCUACGUGUACGAGUUGCGUGCUAACAACUAUUGAUUCAACUGAAACUCUACGUGUAUAUUCUACAAAAUGUAAACCAAUAUAUCUUCACAAAACGCUUCCUAUUUUAAAACUUAACAUAGCAUCGUUAUUUAUUGCAGCUACGGCACUAGAUCGAUAGCUUAUUUUCUCGUUCGCAGUACUACGACAAUAAAGGUCUGUGUAGGUAAAUGUGUUACUAACAUUGAUUGAUGUUCUGUCGUUCAUCUCCCAUCCCGCGGUUGUUAUAGACACAACCGCUUUUAACGUACAGCGAAGGUAAUUAGCUAACACCUCCGCUGAAUGAUUGAUAGUUGGAGCUCACCCAUUAUUUAUUAAAGUUACGCGUUGACUUGUAUGAAUAUACACCUGUCGAUACCUAUUCAUCACGUGCUACAUACAAUAUGUAGGCGAGGAUUCUGUGUAUGCAAAGGGAAACUUCGUUUUAUUAGCAAUUCCAGUGUAAACGGCUUAUGUGAUUGAUAUUAAAUGCACACGUUGAAAUCCUGUCGAUUUUCCUGUUCGCGGAAUAGUUUUUACGUUGGAAGGUUGUAUUUUUUUAUUGUGUUGGGAAGUCCACUGUCCUGAGUUUCAACCGUCCAUUAUGCACGAGUGUUUGCUCUAUGCUGUAAAAAGUAUGAACUCGGCUAUUUAUUAAAUACUGUUUCUACCAGUACCUACGUGUCAUUAAGGACUGGGAGUAUGUAGUCUGUUGUUUUUCGAUUCAACUUUUACCGUACGGGUUUUUAUAAAUAAAAAUUCCGCGUAGGUGUGUUGGCUCGAGAGGGUCGGAAAAUUUGAAGGUUUUCUUCCACAAAACAAAAAAGGAGCUAACUGGAAGAACUCGUAGAAAUGUAAACAGAAUUAUUUAGAACCACAAAAUUUGAGACUUUACCUUGUAGGCGUUACAACAAAAAGUAAACACACCUAAUGGUGUUGGAAGCACGUCUUAGAGCGACAGGCAUUCCAACUGUCGUUGCCUAAACAAGACUCGUAUAUUAAGCCUGGGGAUAACACAGGUAAAACAGACUACUCUAAAAGUCAGACAAGCGAAUAAAACAGUGAGAAGUACGGCACUCGUCUAGUUUCCGUACGUUGUUAUUGGGUUUUGGUCCUUUUUGCCCGGCAAGGUGUUAGCUGAUGCAGAGUUAGGGUUAAAUGUACGGACGUGGGUUUUAAACCGGUUGUGGGUUUAAGUUAACUCUUCUGUUGACGGAAAAGAAUCCUCUCGCGAACUUUAAAUGGGAUUUU